GGCAGACUGGAGAGUAACACGUGGGAACGUGCCCUUCAGUUCGGAACAACCCAGGAAACUUGGGCUAAUACCGGAGACGUCCGCAAGGAGAAAGAUUUAUCGCUGAAGGAUCGGCCCGCGUCUGAUUAGCUAGUUGGUGGGGUAAUGGCUCACCAAGGCGACGAUCAGUAGCUGGUCUGAGAGGAUGAUCAGCCUCACUGGGACUGAGACACGGCCCAGACUCCUACGGGAGGCAGCAGUGGGGAAUCUUGGACAAUGGGCGCAAGCCUGAUCCAGCCAUGCCGCGUGGGUGAUGAAGGCCCUAGGGUUGUAAAGCCCUUUCGGCGGGGAAGAUAAUGACAGUACCCGCAGAAGAAGCCCCGGCUAACUUCGUGCCAGCCGCCGGGG
rnacentral:rRNA from 1 species